GAGAAGUUUUUUUACAUGUGAAAGGAAGCGUGCAUGUGCUUCCCGGCUUAAACGCGUAUCAGCAAGGCAGAGGGAAGCCUGACAAACACCAGCGUAGCAAAACAAGCGUGGAGCUGGAGAAAAGGAUAAUAAGAUAUCAGUGUACUUAAGGAGACCAUCCCGGACAGUGAAAACUGCAAAUCCAGACGUGAAACAAACACAGAUACAAAAACACAAUGGAAGAACUAGUGGAAGAAAAACAUUUGAAAAAAAAGAAAGAAAAGGAAACACGA